rnacentral:rRNA from 1 species
GAUGAACGCUAGCUACAGGCUUAACACAUGCAAGUCGAGGGGCAGUCAGGAUCUGUGCUUGCACAGAUUGCUGGCGACCGGCGCACGGGUGAGUAACGCGUAUCCAACUUCCCCAUAGUAGAGGAUAGCCCGGUGAAAAUCGGAUUAAUACUCUAUGUUGUAUAACGAGGACAUCUGAAUUAUACCAAAGGUUUACCGCUAUGGGAUGGGGAUGCGUCUGAUUAGGUUGUUGGCGGGGUAACGGCCCACCAAGCCAUCGAUCAGUAGGGGUUCUGAGAGGAAGGUCCCCACAUUGGAACUGAGACACGGUCCAAACUCCUACGGGAGGCAGCAGUGAGGAAUAUUGGUCAAUGGGCGAGAGCCUGAACCAGCCAAGUAGCGUGCAGGAUGACGGCCCUAUGGGUUGUAAACUGCUUUUAUGCGGGGAUAAAGUGCAGCACGUGUGCUGUUUUGUAGGUACCGCAUGAAUAAGGACCGGCUAAUUCCGUGCC